GUGCUUGUUUCUGCAACACAUAUACUAAAAUUGGAACCAUACAGAGAACAUUAGCACGAGUUCCCAAGGAUGACACAGAAAUUCGUAAAGUAUUCCACAUUUUU
rnacentral:snRNA from 1 species